rnacentral:rRNA from 1 species
GAUGAACGCUAGCGGGAGGCCUAACACAUGCAAGCCGAGCGGUAUUAUUUCUUCGGAAAUGAGAGAGCGGCGUACGGGUGCGGAACACGUGUGCAACCUGCCUUUAUCUGGGGGAUAGCCUUUCGAAAGGAAGAUUAAUACUCCAUAAUAUAUUGAACGGCAUCGUUUAAUAUUGAAAGCUCCGGCGGAUAGAGAUGGGCACGCGCAAGAUUAGCUAGUUGGUGAGGUAACGGCUCACCAAGGCGAUGAUCUUUAGGGGGCCUGAGAGGGUGAUCCCCCACACUGGUACUGAGACACGGACCAGACUCCUACGGGAGGCAGCAGUGAGGAAUAUUGGUCAAUGGGUGCAAGCCUGAACCAGCCAUCCCGCGUGAAGGGCGACUGCCCUAUGGGUUGUAAACUUCUUUUGUAUAGGGAUAAACCUACCCUCGUGAGGGUAGCUGAAGGUACUAUACGAAUAAGCACCGGCUAACUCCGUGCCAGCAGCCGCAGUAAGAC